CAGUAGCCACGGUAAUACGAAGGGGGCUAGCGUUGUUCGGAAUUACUGGGCGUAAAGCGCACGUAGGCGGAUAUUUAAGUCAGGGGUGAAAUCCCAGAGCUCAACUCUGGAACUGCCUUUGAUACUGGGUAUCUUGAGUAUGGAAGAGGUGAGUGGAAUUCCGAGUGUAGAGGUGAAAUUCGUAGAUAUUCGGAGGAACACCAGUGGCGAAGGCGGCUCACUGGUCCAUUACUGACGCUGAGGUGCGAAAGCGUGGGGAGCAAACAGGAUUAGAUACCCCAGUAGUCCUGUCUCUUAUACA
rnacentral:rRNA from 1 species